AGAAAGCGAAGAGACAUUUUAUUAUUGUGUCUUUUCAUCAAUGAGGAUCAUUGAGAUACAGUGAAAAUCGAAGGUCGAGAUAUCAUUUCAGUCGUCCUUUUCUUUUGAUUGAUGAUAUGAUUGUUGCUCGUCCACAU